UGCCUGCAUUAUCUUAAGAUAGCAUUUUGUAAUUUUACAUCCUGUAUUUUGGUUGGUAAAUAUGACGAAAAAAUUGAUCAAUAUUUUUAUUUACCAAUUUAUCCAUAUUCUCAUACUUUUUUGAAUAGAUAAAUUAUUUUUUAAUGAAAAAAUAUUUAUUUAUAAAAUAAGAUAAAAAUCUUAUCCAUCUAGAAUUUUCUCAUCAACCGAUAUAAUAACUUUUUUUAUUAUCCCU
rnacentral:lncRNA from 1 species